rnacentral:lncRNA from 1 species
GAUUCCCAAUGGGAGAGACACCACUUUAUAUUCCCUGCUCAUAGUAUGUCCAUGAAUUACCAGCUAUGACCCGCAGAUGAACCUCAGAAUGUCCCUCCCAGCCCUCCUGACUGGAAGCCACUGUCUGGGGGUGGGGAAAGGGAAGCAUAGAUGGGAUGUGCUGGUAUUGCCAGGCCCCAUGUUCUCAAGAAGUUGACCUGAGAGAAGGGAAGGAGAGUUUACUCUAUUUGCAAAGAAAUCAGAAACCAUGCUGCUGUUUCUUGACUGUGACUUUCUCGGGAACGCCCUGUUGGCACUUGAGCAUUAACACACGUGAGAUAAGCAAAGAGGCCUCGCCAACACAGUCAAGUAAGCUCAGAGAAGACACGUUGUGGUCAACUGCACGACCGCGGCCCAAGUCUAUAGGCCCUCCUUCCUGUGGGUGUCCGGCCAUGGAAAAAGCACUUUGCAGGUGACCAAAUGCUAAUAGUCUUCAGAUGAGGGAAUUCUAGCCAGGAUGGGGAAAGGAUGGGGUAUAAACACAGCCAGCCGCAUGCUCCACAGAGUGACAGCAAACGCCAGGACCAGCAAGGUGAGAGGGAAGAUGGAAGAAGUCCUUACAAUCCACAGGGAUUCAUUCUGGACAAGUUGCUACUGCCAGCCAACAUCACAUGUUGGGGAGGUGGCUACUUGAAGGAUGGCACGGUGACUCCUUACGGACUUACAGCUGGCCAUCUUUCUCUUCUGGAGCUACAAAGAAUAGCCUCAGCCAGUGUCUUCCAGUUGCAAAUGGGAGAUACAUCAGCCCCAGCGUAAGGCCACGGAGGAGAACAGCAUCUCUAAGGGGGACUGGAUUCAGCAGAGAUGAUCAUCAACUCCAAACUCUCCACGGAUGGAAUUUCAUAAGAUGUAAUCAGGGAUAAAUUGCUUCCUUUCAGCAACAUGCCACUCUUGCUUUGCCAGCGUUAUCCUGUGAUGUUCCAAAUAUAUGUGAGGACAGAAAAGGUUCUUGCAACUUUUCCUUCAGGCUGAACAUCGUACUAAAAGUAGCAGCUAUUUCCACAGUAGCCUCAGGAGAUGAGUGACUUGACCUGGGUUUCCCAUGGGGGAGCUGGC